rnacentral:rRNA from 1 species
ACGUAGGGUGCGAGCGUUAAUCGGAAUUACUGGGCGUAAAGCGUGCGCAGGCGGUUUCGUAAGCUGGAGGUGAAAUCCCCGGGCUUAACCUGGGAAUGGCCUUCAGGACUGCGAGGCUAGAGUGCGGCAGAGGGAGGUGGAAUUCCACGUGUAGCAGUGAAAUGCGUAGAUAUGUGGAGGAACACCGAUGGCGAAGGCAGCCUCCUGGGCCAGCACUGACGCUCAUGCACGAAAGCGUGGGGAGCAAACAGGA